rnacentral:rRNA from 1 species
GAUGAACGCUGGCGGCGUGCCUAAUACAUGCAAGUCGAGCGAACAGACGAGGAGCUUGCUCCUCUGACGUUAGCGGCGGACGGGUGAGUAACACGUGGAUAACCUACCUAUAAGACUGGGAUAACUUCGGGAAACCGGAGCUAAUACCGGAUAAUAUAAUGAACCGCAUGGUUCAAUAGUGAAAGACGGUUUUGCUGUCACUUAUAGAUGGAUCCGCGCCGCAUUAGCUAGUUGGUAAGGUAACGGCUUACCAAGGCAACGAUGCGUAGCCGACCUGAGAGGGUGAUCGGCCACACUGGAACUGAGACACGGUCCAGACUCCUACGGGAGGCAGCAGUAGGGAAUCUUCCGCAAUGGGCGAAAGCCUGACGGAGCAACGCCGCGUGAGUGAUGAAGGUCUUCGGAUCGUAAAACUCUGUUAUUAGGGAAGAACAAAUGUGUAAGUAACUAUGCACGUCUCGACGGUACCUAAUCAGAAAGCCACGGCUAACUACGUG